GAUCAUUCCAAGUUCGACUCUUCUCGUUUAGACACGGAGUAGAUGAGUUUCCACGCGCUCGGCUGGGAUUUCCGAUUCCCUCCGUACAGCUCACGAUGUUGACCUUGAAUCGGAAGAAUCAAAUCUAUGCUCGACCAAAGGGACAUCUUUUGUUUCAUUAAAGGUGACAUGUAACUGUUUGCAAAAAGGGAGGAGAGAAGAACUAAUGGAUGGAGAGCAAAGAGAACGUGGAAGAGAAAAAA